rnacentral:rRNA from 1 species
GUGUCCAGCCUCGCGCGGUAAUACGUAGGUGGCAAGCGUUGUCCGGAAUUAUUGGGCGUAAAGCGCGCGCAGGCGGUUCCUUAAGUUUGAUGUGAAAGCCCACGGCUCAACCGUGGAGGGUCAUUGGAAACUGGGGGACUUGAGUGCAGAAGAGGAGAGCGGAAUUCCACGUGUAGCGGUGAAAUGCGUAGAGAUGUGGAGGAACACCAGUGGCGAAGGCGGCUCUCUGGUCUGUAACUGACGCUGAGGCGCGAAAGCGUGGGGAGCAAACAGGAUUAGAUACCCUGGUAGUCCACGCCGUAAACGAUGAGUGCUAAGUGUUAGAGGGUAUCCACCCUUUAGUGCUGUAGCUAACGCAUAAGCACUCCGCUGUGCAUACCCCGCCAGU